AUUGAACGCUGGCGGCAUGCUUUACACAUGCAAGUCGAACGGCAGCGGGGGCUUCGGCCCGCCGGCGAGUGGCGAACGGGUGAGUAAUGCAUCGGAACGUGCCCAGUCGUGGGGGAUAACACAUCGAAAGAUGUGCUAAUACCGCAUACGUCCUGAGGGAGAAAGCGGGGGACCUUCGGGCCUCGCGCGAUUGGAGCGGCCGAUGUCAGAUUAGCUAGUAGGUGGGGUAAAGGCCCACCUAGGCGACGAUCUGUAGCGGGUCUGAGAGGAUGAUCCGCCACACUGGGACUGAGACACGGCCCAGACUCCUACGGGAGGCAGCAGUGGGGAAUUUUGGACAAUGGGGGCAACCUUGAUCCAGCCAUGCCGCGUGAGUGAAGAAGG
rnacentral:rRNA from 1 species